GGCGGGGCUCGGCGCGGCGCAGGGCACUGGCAGGGCUCCCCGGCCCGAUCUCCAUGUACAGCUACAUGUUUAGGGCCGCUCGGGUUAAUAUAUGUCGUCAGAAGCGGCGGCCGCCAAUGGCCGGGGCGGAGGCGGAGCCCGCCGCCCUCCGCAAUAAAACUUUUUGAUGUUCGCUCUGCUAAUUGCCGAGCUCCUCUUUUAGGAUUGGCUGCCCCUCCGCAUCCCUAAUGUAAUUAAAACAAGGGGGGAAAAAUUAUCAUGGAGGCAGAGGUUAAUGCAAGUGUUUAGCAGAUGCCUUAUAGUAAAAUCUGCAUUAAAAAAUUUGAAAAAAACCCAAACAACAAAACCCCCCCUACAAACUCAUUAAAACUUAAAUAUCGGAUAAUCUCAAACCAGCUUGCUGCCUACGCCUAUGCACCUCCACCAGCGUUCACCCGAGUGACUUAUGUGCCUCAAAUCGGUUUUAUGCUUCUCUAACUGGUACUAUCGCAUCUGAAGUUCAGACGGUGGAGGAAGAAGAAGGCUAGGCUGGCAUCGUUUUGUGUUUGGGUUGACAAAAAUCAACACUUCUAUUGUCAUUCUUCAUGGAAAGUCUCCAUUUAAAGAGGCUGGGGUUUAAGAAGCCUUCAUAGAUCAAAGGAAAGUUAAGAAGCCGGAAAAUGGAGAAUUGAGUGUCAUGUACCUCCCCAGAUCUGCAGGGAAACGGAGCAGCGGCCAAAAGGAGCGGGUGUAAAUGCGACAACAAAAAUAAAUACUUUAUAUCACCGUGCAGAACUUA